rnacentral:tRNA from 1 species
GGCCUCGUAGCUCAGCUGGUAGAGCACGCGUAGGCGGCGUCCAUGCGUGGGUUCGAAUCCCACCGAAGCUA